CUCUAUCAAAAAAUGGGAAAACGAGGUUUUUUUCAAUCCAAACAAACGAUACAUAACAAAAGUCACGUGCUUUAAUUCUCUCAUUGGUGAGAGUUCUUUCUCUCUUCUCUCAGAGUAUUUCUCACUGUCUGUGAGCCUUUCAAUCUUGGGUUUUUUCGGUGGCACCGGCCCUAGCUUUGGCUAGGGUCGGCUGUCGUGUCUUUUCUUUUUUUCUUUUCCUUCUUCUCUCCCUGCCUCUACUGUUAUUUCUUCUCAAUUUUCUCUCGAGUCUCCCUUGUUCCUCUACUCUUGAAGCAACUUGUGGUUGGAGGUGGCAUCUGUGGAGGCGUUACUGGACGGAGGAUGGGAAUCGGCCGUUGGACCUAUUUCAAAGGAUGGAGAUGGCGGUGGAAGCUUUUGGUGGAAGCUGUGUAGUUUUUGGGCCUUUCUGUUGUUGUUUCCCUUAGCUUUAGGCCUUUUUUGGUUGUAUUUAAAGUAUGUGUUGGACCUUUGUUGUAAAGUGUAGUUUUUGUAAUAAAUUUUCUUUUACCCAAAAAAAAAAAAAAAACGGGUAA